GGAAAUACGCUCUUGUUUCCUCACAGUGUGAUCCAGCUUUGCUCCCUGAGCCCAAUCACGUCAUGCUUAAUCACCUGUAUGCUCUGUCCAUUAAGGACGGCGUUAUGGUCCUGAGUGCCACACAUCGGUAUAAGAAGAAAUAUGUCACAACCCUGCUGUACAAGCCAAUCUGAGAAACAUGGCCAUUUCAACACUCAACUUGCACGACCUCCGUCUAGUUUGGCUGUUAUAUAUAGUAUGUAUUACUGUAAAUAGAAAUGUACAGAGAUGCACUUUAGAGGUACAUCCCACCUUAAUGGGUAUAAAAUAAUCAGAGACACAGAAAUAGCUCAGUUUUACUGGACAGUUAAGCACAUAUCUACUCUUUUAGGGGUUGGUACAAUUUUUAAACCCACUAUUCAGUGGGACCGGGCCAAAUCGACUGAAUCGAAACCAGUACAGAGGUGUGUUCUUGAAUAGUGUAAAUAAAGUGUGACAUGUUUAUUU